rnacentral:lncRNA from 1 species
ACCACCACGUUUCCGCUUAACUUCACCACUACUCUGGUGUCUUGAUAAAAUGAACUGGAAUUAAAGACAAUUAAAUUUUCUGAACCCGGCAGGGACGCAGUAAACCGCUGCCAGGCGUACUUGACUUGUGUAUUGCUUUUAAGUUCCUGUUGCAAUACGCGUGGGAGGAGUUUGCUUUGACGGAUGCAGCCUUUGCUAAAACACCACCGGGGGAAGGGAUCGCGUGACCUCAGACAGAGGAAAGAUCCCUCGCCUCACAUAAAGAUUAGACACAGUACUGGUUGCAAUGACAGUGAUUUGACGGAUGAGGAACAAAGGUGUCUGGCAACGGAGGAAGAGGAGGAGGAGGAGCCAGAACAGGAGCAGGAGCAGGAGCAGAAGUAGAAGCAGAAGCAGGAGCAGAAGCAGAAGCAGAAGCAAGAGGGGAUGAUGAGAGGAGACUAGACUCGAUAAUGGUUCCGCAGAUUGUGUGCUGGUGACGUACGAGUACCAAUGUUGAGCUGAUGGUGCAGGCAUUGGUGGUGGUGACGGAGUGGUGUUGCUGGCACAGCGGAGCCUCCAGCUGCUGGUCGUUACCCUUGACACAAAGGCACAGGGAAGGGCGGCGGGGAGCGAGGAUACGCAGAUCACUUUAAAGGCAGCGAUGUGCGGGCAGCGGCUGGUGGACUCUGGGCCUGUGAGCUGACACGCGGCGACAGCUCGGUGCUUCUUUCAUCAGUUAUUA